CAUAGCAUGGCAUAGUGGUUUGAGUGUUAGACUACAAUUCUGGAGAACAGUGUUCAAUCCACUGGGUGAUCU